rnacentral:ncRNA from 1 species
UUAAAGGUUUGCAAUUUCGAUUGUGAUUAAAAGGGAAUUCGAUGAGAUUUCGAGACUGUUCCCGCAGCUGUAAGCUCCAUUAACCAAUGGCCAUUUAAUGCCACUUUUCGUUAUCCAACGAAUGGGAAGGCGGUCAAAGGGGAGUAAGUCAGAAGACCUGCCAUUAAGAAAA